GACUGGAGACGCUCUUUUCCCUGAAAAGGUCCGGGAGGCGCCUGGUGGAGAAGAGGAAAGUCGGCUGCAGGUUUGUGAGGUGAUUACAUGGUUUGUUUGUAUGCGUUGCAGGAGGUAAGACGGGUUUGGAGGUGGCAAACUGGAGCCUGAAUCCUGGACAGGUUGUAGGUUUGAAGAUCUGAGGAGUGGGACGAUGGAACGGAGGGGAGUGAUCCACCGGGUGAAGUCCUGGGGAUGCUUGAGCUGCAGUGGAUCGACCUGAAGAGUGGAGGGUACAAGGUCGUGUACAUGUACCGGCACAACAACGUCAGGACUCCGCUGACGCCCGUGAUGCCCGUCCUCCUGAGCAUCAGGACAUCGUGUUGCCUGGUGUAACUGUUAGUCUGCGUGUGCAAGUCAAGAGGGGGAAGACGGGGAAGGCCGAUGCGUAGAUUACAGUCAGUUCAGCACAUGAUUGCAACAAAUGAAUGGACGAGGUGUACAGUACUGACCCGCUGGCGCUGACGACAGCAGUAGUAGGAAUGACUGGGACGCAGAGUUGGACGAUUAUUGGUUUUGUUUGCUUCAGAUUUACAGCACUGGCCAAUUUCCUGUCCUGCGUUAUCUGAUCGCCUGCGCCGGUGCGAUCGGGCAGGACGUCGCCCAGCAGACCGAUCAGUAGGGGGAAAAAAACAAAAAACUAGUCAUGAUUUAUAACUGUGGAUGUGUGAGUGAAUUAUGAAACACAUGAAUGUCUUAUUGGUAGUUCUGUAACCGGGUGGAUGAUUGGAUAAGGAGGAAGAAAAUAGAUUUAUGCAGCUAAAUAUGGCUGCAUGGAUGAAUGACCUCACUAAGAUGUACUAGAGGAUAGAAACUACUAUGGUGGAGAAAUGAUGGCAGCUGUCAUUUUUUCUAUUGUUGGCUCCUUGCAGAAACAUAAACAGCUUAAAAAGGAAAACAAUGCAUAACUAUAGAAACCAGUUAUUUCCAGCUCAACUACUUUCCGGAGUGAAUUGUUAAAAACAUUUCACUCUUUUAUUAUUUCUUUAUAACUGUUGCACAAAUGUGGACACAUUGAUCCCCUAUGGCUAAAAUUGUGUAAAAAAGAGACUCUUCACUUUUUUAUUUUCAAACCAUCAUUUAUCCAGUGUAGAAUCACGUCACUAGAAAUAAUUGAGUUGACGUAAAUUGCUGUGAUUUUACUUAACGUUUUUAAGUUGAUGUGCGCUCAAGACGCAGUGGCCAAUUUCUUUAUUUAUUUUUGCCACCAUUCACUAGCCAUGUUUCAAGUUAUCAUAAAAUGUUAUUGGGUUUAUGUACAUUUUUUGGACCAGUGAUCCGACUCUUUGGAUAUGCAACACAGUCCGAUAAGUUUGUGAUAACUCCACAUUAUUCUCUGUUUUAGUCUGGUACUUGUAUUAUUAUCAUUGCUAUUGUUAUAAUUGGUUUUAAUAUAUUUUUAUGUUAUUUUUGUGUGAACCUUCAUACCUGAUCCUUCUGUUGAAUUUCCCCUCCGUGGGACAAUAAAGGCUGUUUUUAAA